ensembl:misc_RNA Metazoa_SRP Metazoan signal recognition particle RNA
GCCGGGCGUGGUGGCGCGCACCUGUAGUCCCAGCUACUCGGGAGGCUGAGGUGGGAGGAUCGCUUGAGUCCAGGAGUUCUGGGCUGCAGUGCGCUAUGCCGAUCGGGUGUCCGCACUAAGUUCGGCAUCAAUAUGGUGACCUCCCGGGAGCGGGGGACCACCAGAUUGCCUAAGGAGGGGUGAACCGGCCCAGGUCGGAAACGGAGCAGGUCAAAACUCCCGUGCUGAUCAGUAGUGGGAUCGCGCCUGUGAAUAGCCACUGCACUCCAGCCUGGGCAAUAUAGUGAGACCCUGUCUCU